UAGGGAAUUUUCGGCAAUGGGCGAAAGCCUGACCGAGCAACGCCGCGUGAACGAAGAAGGUCUUCGGAUCGUAAAGUUCUGUUAUAGAGGAAGAACGGCGCCUGUAGGGAAUGACAGGUGAGUGACGGUACUCUAUGAGGAAGCCACGGCUAACUACGUGCCAGCAGCCGCGGUAAUACGUAGGUGGCGAGCGUUAUCCGGAAUCAUUGGGCGUAAAGAGGGAGCAGGCGGCCGGAAGGGUCUAACGUUAAAAGGCAGCAGCUUAACUGCUGUAGGGCGAAGAAACCGAUCGGCUAGAGUUCUAUAGAGGAUCGUGGAAUUCCAUGUGUAGCGGUGAAAUGCGUAGAUAUAUGGAGGAACACCAGUGGCGAAGGCGACGAUCUGGAUAGAAACAGACGCUGAGUCCCGAAAGCGAUGGGGAGCAAAUAGGAUUAGAUACC
rnacentral:rRNA from 1 species